GAUGAACGCUGGCGGCGUGCCUAAUACAUGCAAGUCGAGCGAACAGACGAGGAGCUUGCUCCUUCGACGUUAGCGGCGGACGGGUGAGUGACACGUAGGUAACCUACCUAUAAGACUGGGAUAACUUCGGGAAACCGGAGCUAAUACCGGAUAAUAUUUCGAACCGCAUGGUUCGAUAGUGAAAGAUGGCUUUGCUAUCACUUAUAGAUGGACCUGCGCCGUAUUAGCUAGUUGGUAAGGUAACGGCUUACCAAGGCAACGAUACGUAGCCGACCUGAGAGGGUGAUCAGCCACACUGGAACUGAGACACGGUCCAGACUCCUACGGGAGGCAGCAGUAGGGAAUCUUCCGCAAUGGGCGAAAGCCUGACGGAGCAACGCCGCGUGAGUGAUGAAGGUCUUCGGAUCGUAAAACUCUGUUAUUAGGGAAGAACAAACGUGUAAGUAACUGUGCACGUCUUGACGGUACCUAAUCAGAAAGCCACGGCUAACUACGUG
rnacentral:rRNA from 1 species